GUUGCUUGUUGCUUAUUGAAAUAUAUUGUGUUCGAAAAACAUCUUUUUGCUGUUUUUUUGUGUGUUAGCAGUAAUGCCCGUUGUGUGCUGCGUCAUAACGUGUAAACGCAAUAAUGUGAAGCACGAAGAACGUUUUUUCAACUUCCCGCAACCGCGGAAAAAUUCAACAAGUUUGAACAGAGAUCACAUGUUGAGACGGUCAUUUAAAUGGAUAAAAGCUUGCGGAUGUUUGCCGAAGGCGAACAUGCGAAUCUGCGGAAGGCAUUUCGUAAAAGGACAACCGGCGGAUCUAGAAGAUAUAAAUGACAUCGACUGGAUUCCAACGUUGUUCCUCCCGCAACGUUCAAAUAGCGAAGUCGAAAAAAUCACUACCAGAAAUACAGAAAUCCAACCCUCGAACUCCGGAAAUAUAUCGGCCGAACCAGAACUCGCUUCCAAUCACGUUUUGCUUGACCAUGAUGAUGAAAAAUUGGAAGGAGAUUCAUUUGAGAUCGUUACAAAUGCGCUUAAUUAACGAUAGUGAUGGUUUAGUAACGCUGGUACGUAGCACUUCCUUCAAAAUCGAAGCUGUGAUACGACCAAUACGAAAUUUUUUCCA